CCAUGGGAAGUGGUGAAUUAAUUCCUUGUUUGUUUUGCUUGUGAUGAAAAAAGACACCGCUACUUCUGACUUUUCCUUGGUGUCCAUGAAAGGUAGUGCCCAAGGCAUCACAUCAGCAGUGAAUCCUUCUCCAUGGCAGUGACACAGAGAGGUCAGUUCUGAUUUAAACCUGUCGUCUCUUAAAGAUUCCUAACAUGAUUCUCAUGCACUGGCCAAAACUGCAGUACUUUGCAAAGCAGAAAAUACAGGAGAACUUCACAUUCACAUGGAGAACUGUAUUCCCAAGAGAAAAGAAGGGAAUCAUGGCAGUGUUUCCAUGAUUACUGGGGUGAGUAUGAUCCUAUUAAAAACCAGCAUUCAGACUGACAAUAUUUGGAUCAAGAGUAUCUGACCACAUCCCUUUAGCCCUCAUGACACCUUUGUGAGGUGACAAGCUGAAGAUAUUCCUAAGGGAAGCCUCACCUCUGAUACUCAGCAAGACCGUGAGCAUUCUGAACCCUUGAAAUUAAUAGAAAUGGGCAUCUCUCACAGCUACCCUCAAUCAAGUGAAGGGCUAUUUGCAAAAAUUAGAGGUCUCAUUUUUUUGAAGAGGAAAGGAUCACUGACUACUCUGAGCUUUUUCAGUCAUCCACAGAAACGAGCCUGAGAUGUACCAUGGGCACCUCACCAAGGACGUCACAGCAACAUGUUCCCAGAGCACUGAGGACAUCUGCACUUCUGAGAAUGAAACCUCUUGUGUUAAGUGGCUUUUUAGUACUUUAUGGGGAAUACCUCUAAAACAGGUCUUUAUUUUUAAACUGGGGAGGGUUUUGUAAGUUUGAUUUUACCUCAAGACAUCACAAUCCCAACACUCAUGUAAGGAUGAAUACAUGCGCAAAUCCAGAUGACCCAAACAGAAAAAUCAUGCUUCCCUGGCAAAGUCAUGUGAUAUCGUAGAAGGCAUGUUCAAUUUUCAGCAGAGAAAAACAUUUACAGAAUUCUACCUUUUCACAGAGGGAAAGCACAGUCCCAGCUUGGAUUAUUGCAACCUGCUCUUCAUUUCUCAAAUUCUAAAAUACAAAAAGAUGCAUUUUAAACUGGGUCAAAAAAUCAUCCUUUAACACAAGAAAUAACUAUACUUGAAAAAAUAAAUAAUUUAUUACAUUUAGAAUUAUAGACGUGACCAAAAAAGCAUCCCAUUAUUAAAAGUAUUGAAAGUUAAACCAGGAGUGCUUAGUUUCCACUCAAUUUCAGUACAUCAUCUCCCCAAUGCUUUUGCAACAAUUUAUUAUUUGAUGAAAGUUAAGUGGUGUCUGUCAGCGAUUUUGAAUUUUUUUUUCCCUUAGGCCUGUUAAUUGGACUAUGGCCCUACAGCAAGUGAAUCUCCCCUUCGUGCACUUUCAGAGCUAGACUUCCCACUAAUGAAAACAAUGCAAAGAUCAAGUACCAUAGAAACCUUCAUAGAACUUUCAACAUAAUAUGUAAAUCUAGAACUUAAAACUAGCAUUAUAAAGAGUUCAAUCUGUUAAGGGUAGCUAUAAACUGGACCCAGUUCCCUGGAUGUUUGUGCCACAACUGCAUGACCAAGAUUUUAUUCUGUAUUUGGCACUGUAGAAGAACGGGAGACAGUUAUCCUUGCCUUUCUCCCAGAAAAUCCACUCCUGGCAGAAAACAGCCUUCACAGUAGUGGGUGCUACUGUUACUACUCAAAAGAAAAAACUCACAAACAACUUGGUCUGGCUUUCAUUUCUGUUUUAAAUCUGGUUUUAUUUCCUUUUAUAUCUCGUCUGGGUAUUAUCUUUUCCCUCUGCCUACUUCAGUGCCUUUUUCUACAUCAUUCAGUCAAGACCAAAUCCUAGCUUAAAAAAAUAUGCUUUUCACUGGUAUCAGUUUAACUGAAAGAUUUCAAGUUUGUGAAAGCAGUACCUAACCAUUCAUAUUCUUCAUACAAAUACAUAUAGGCAUGUAAAAAUCACCCUCUGUAUUUUCUAGGAUGUUAUUAUCAGCUGUGGAGAAAAAAAUGCAUUAAAUUAACCAUAAAACUGAAGAUAUAUUUAAAAUUAAAAAUUUGUUACCCCAUUAUCUCCAAGAAUAUCUAGUUUCU